GGAUAAUUUAAGUGACUUUCCAUUUGCCUGCUAAGGAGAACCAAGAAUCACGGUUUUCCAUCUUUCCCUUGAAUCUGGCGAAUCUUAAAAACCCCCAGCCACUGUGGAGAAGCUUUCUGUUCCUGAAAAGCCAAGAAAUUCACAUUUUGCAGGAAGUGAAACUGAGACCCAGCUGAGGAACAACCCAAUUUCUGCAGGUAGGUUGAGCCAGCCCGCUGGAAUUUGAGGGUUGUCUGUGGAAGUUGGCAAGGCUCAC
rnacentral:lncRNA from 1 species